GUGGCUAUGGCGGCACAUAUACUAAUAUUGGAAUGAUACAGAGAAGGUUAGCAUGGCCCUUACCAAAAGAAUGACUAGUGGAGUAGGUGGAGCCGGGGAAGAAGAUAAGU